AAGUCAGCCUCUUCACAGGUCUUUAUCUUCAAUUCAAAGUCACCCCUACAAAGUGUUUUUCUCUACAUUCCAAUAAUUGCAACUAAUAAUUUGUCAUUUAUGUCUUCUUUUUCUGGAAUCAAAAGAUUUCUUGUAUUUUUUUCUAUUCAUUAAGUAUGGCAUAUUGAUUGCAAGUUUUUUUUUUCUCAACACAGUAGGGAAUCAGACAAUAGCAUUAUAUUGAAACUCUAGCUUCUGAGAAAUCCAAAAUAGUGUUUCUAGUCGUGAAUUUGCAUAAUAAUUUUAAUUAAUUAAGAUAUUGUAGAAGUAGUUAUAUUUUUGGUGUCUAGGUACAAGUGUACCAGUAGGUAUAUUUGUGUCUCGGUACAAGUGUACCAGUAGGUAUAUUUGUGUCUCGGCUACAAGUGUACCAGUAGGUAUAUUUGUGUCUCGGUACAAGUGUACCAGUAGGUAUAUUUGUGUCUCGGUACAAGUGUACCAGUAGGUAUAUAUCUAUAUAUAUAUAUAUGUAUGACCAUGCUCUGUGUUCUAUAUCAUCAAUUCCAAUGUGUUAUAUAACCAGUCCAUAGAAAUACAAUUAAUAAAACGUCAUAAUAGU
rnacentral:sRNA from 1 species